rnacentral:snoRNA from 1 species
ACAAGCCUGUGAUGCUCAGUUAUCCCUGUCUGAAGAUCUCGACUGAGGGAAGACAAUCUAUUCUGAGGCUUAA